GACGAACGCUGGCGGCGUGCCUAAUACAUGCAAGUCGAGCGAGUCUGCCUUGAAGAUCGGAGUGCUUGCACUCUGUGAAACAAGAUACAGGCUAGCGGCGGACGGGUGAGUAACACGUGGGUAACCUGCCCAAGAGAUCGGGAUAACACCUGGAAACAGAUGCUAAUACCGGAUAACAACAGAUGAUGCCUAUCAACUGUUUAAAAGAUGGUUCUGCCAUCACUCUUGGAUGGACCUGCGGUGCAUUAGCUAGUUGGUAGGGUAACGGCCUACCAAGGCGAUGAUGCAUAGCCGAGUUGAGAGACUGAUCGGCCACAUUGGGACUGAGACACGGCCCAAACUCCUACGGGAGGCAGCAGUAGGGAAUCUUCCACAAUGGACGCAAGUCUGAUGGAGCAACGCCGCGUGAGUGAAGAAGGGUUUCGGCUCGUAAAGCUCUGUUGUUGGUGAAGAAGGACAGGGGUAGUAACUGACCUUUGUUUGACGGUAAUCAAUUAGAAAGUCACGGCUAACUAAGUG
rnacentral:rRNA from 1 species